rnacentral:rRNA from 1 species
CAAUAGCGUAUAUUAAAGUUGUUGCAGUUAAAAAGCUCGUAGUUGGAUUUCUGGUUGAAGCGACCGGUCGGGCGUUGAUUCGUCUGCACUGGAGUCGGUUUUGGCCAUCCUCUAGGAAAGUGCGUCUGGUAUUAAGUUAUCGGGCGUAUGAUCCUGGUCUUUUACCGUGAAAAAAUUAGAGUGUUUAAAGCAGGCCUUCGCCUUGAAUACAUUAGCAUGGAAUAAUAAGAUAGGACUUUGGUCUAUUUUGUUGGUUUGCAGACCGAAGUAAUGAUUAAUAGGGAUAGUUGGGGGUAUUUAUAUUCCGAUGUCAGAGGUGAAAUUCUUAGAUUUUCGGAAGAUAAACUUAUGCGAAAGCAUUUACCAAGGAUGUUUUCAUUAA